CCUACGGGAGGCAGCAGUAGGGAAUAUUGCUCAAUGGGCGAAACCCUGAACCAGCAACGCCGCGUGGAGGAUGAAGGUUCUCGGAUUGUUAACUCCUUUUGUUAGAGAAGAUAAUGACGGUAUCUAACGAAUAAGCACCGGCUAACUCCGUGCCAGCAGCCGUGGUUAUACGGAGGGUGCAAGCGUUACUCGGAAUCACUGGGCGUAAAGCGCGCGUAGGCGGGAUAGCAAGUCAGAUGUGAAAUCCUAUGGCUUAACCAUAGAACUGCAUUUGAAACUGUUAUUCUAGAGUAUGGGAGAGGUAGGUGGAAUGCGUGGUGUAGGGGUGAAAUGCGUAGAGAUCAAGAAGAAUACUGAUUGCGAAGGCGGCCUGCUAGAACAUAACUGACGCUGAUGCGCGAAAGCGUGGGGAGCAAACAGGAUUAGAUACCCCGGUAGUC
rnacentral:rRNA from 1 species